rnacentral:ncRNA from 1 species
UCCCUGGUUGAUCCUGCCAGUAGUCAUAUGCUUGUCUCAAAGAUUAAGCCAUGCAUGUCUCAGUGCAAGCCGCAUUAAGGUGAAACCGCGAAAGGCUCAUUAAAUCAGUUGUGGUUCCUUAGAUCGUACCCAAGUUACUUGGAUAACUGUGGUAAUUCUAGAGCUAAUACAUGCCGACAGAGUUCCGACCGUCGCGGCGCCCUCGGGCGUCGCUCGCGGGAGGAACGCUUUUAUUAGAUCAAAACCGGCCCGUCGCGGCGCGCUUCGUGCGCGUCCCGAUCGCGGCCCGCGCAAAGACCUGGUGACUCUGAAUAACUUCGAGCUGAUCGCACGGUCUCCGUACCGGCGACGCAUCUUUCAAAUGUCUGCCUUAUCAACUGUCGAUGGUAGGUUCCAUGCCUACCAUGGUGGUAACGGGUAACGGGGAAUCAGGGUUCGAUUCCGGAGAGGGAGCCUGAGAAACGGCUACCACAUCCAAGGAAGGCAGCAGGCGCGCAAAUUACCCACUCCCGGAACGGGGAGGUAGUGACGAAAAAUAACGAUACGGGACUCAUCCGAGGCCCCGUAAUCGGAAUGAGAACACUUUAAAACCCUUUAAACGAGGAUCAUUGGAGGCA